rnacentral:rRNA from 1 species
CUCGGGUCGUCGGGUCGGAAUGUUUUUCGGUCAAACGAUGGACUCGCGGCCUAUCAGCUUGUUGGUGAGGUAAUGGCUCACCAAGGCGACGACGGGUAGCCGGCCUGAGAGGGUGACCGGCCACACUGGGACUGAGACACGGCCCAGACUCCUACGGGAGGCAGCAGUGGGGAAUAUUGCACAAUGGGCGAAAGCCUGAUGCAGCAACGCCGCGUGGGGGAUGACGGCCUUCGGGUUGUAAACCUCUUUUAGUACGGAAGAACGGCUUCGGCUUGACGGUACCUGCAGAAAAAAGCACCGAGCUAACUACCUGCCAAUCAGCCCGCGGUAAUACUGUACGGUGCAAGCGUUUGUCCGGAAUUAUUGGGCGUAAACAGCUCGUUAAGCGGUUUGUCGCUCUCUGCUGUCAAAACCCCGAGGCUCCAACCUCGAGCCCUGCCAGCGGGGUACAGGCAGAACUACACUGCCGGUAGGGGAACAAUGGCAUUUCCUCGGUGUUAGCCGUGGGAAUUGCCCCAGAUAUCAAGAAGGAUCCCCGAUUGGCCAAAUGGGAAGUUCUCUGGGGCCGUUACCUGCCCCUGAGGAAGCGAAACCUUGGGGACGCAACAGCGAUUAAAAUCCCCCGGCUAACUUCCCGCCAUAAACCCUUGGGAACCAAUUGUGGCGGACCCUUCUCCCCGAUUCCAUGGUCCAAACCAACCCAUUAAG